rnacentral:rRNA from 1 species
CCUACGGGAGGCAGCAGUAGGGAAUAUUGCUCAAUGGGGGAAACCCUGAACCAGCAAUGCCGCGUGGAGGAUGAAGGUUUUCGGAUUGUAAACUUCUUUUGUUAGAGAAGAUAAUGCCGGUAUCUGACGAAUAAGCACCGUCUAACUCCGUGCCAGCAGCCGCGGUAAUACGGAGGGUGCAAGCGUUACUCGGAAUCACUGGGCGUAAAGAGGGCGUAGGCGGGAUAGCAAGUCAGAUGUGAAAUCCUAUGGCUUAACCAUAGAACUGCAUUUGAAACUGUUAUACUAGAGUAUGGGUGAGGUAGGAGGAAUGCUUGGUGUAGGGGUAAAAUCCGUAGAGAUCA